rnacentral:rRNA from 1 species
CAGCCGCCGCGGUAAUACGUAGGUCCCGAGCGUUGUCCGGAUUUAUUGGGCGUAAAGCGAGCGCAGGCGGUUAGAUAAGUCUGAAGUUAAAGGCUGUGGCUUAACCAUAGUACGCUUUGGAAACUGUUUAACUUGAGUGCAAGAGGGGAGAGUGGAAUUCCAUGUGUAGCGGUGAAAUGCGUAGAUAUAUGGAGGAACACCGGUGGCGAAAGCGGCUCUCUGGCUUGUAACUGACGCUGAGGCUCGAAAGCGUGGGGCGCAAACAGGAUUAGAUACCCGCGUAGUCCCUGUCUCUUAUACA